AGCGAACGCUGGCGGCAGGCCUAACACAUGCAAGUCGAACGAAGUCUUCGGACUUAGUGGCGGACGGGUGAGUAACACGUGGGAACGUGCCUUAAGGUUCGGAAUAACUGAGGGAAACUUGUGCUAAUACCGAAUGUGCCCUUCGGGGGAAAGAUUUAUCGCCUUUAGAGCGGCCCGCGUCUGAUUAGCUAGUUGGUGAGGUAAAGGCUCACCAAGGCUACGAUCAGUAGCUGGUCUGAGAGGAUGACCAGCCACAUUGGGACUGAGACACGGCCCAAACUCCUACGGGAGGCAGCAGUGGGGAAUCUUGCGCAAUGGGCGAAAGCCUGACGCAGCCAUGCCGCGUGGAUGACGAAGGUCUUAGGAUUGUAAAAUCCUUUCACCGGUGAAGAUAAUGACUGUAGCCGGAGAAGAAGCCCCGGCUAACUUCGUGCCAGCAGCCGCAGUAAAAC
rnacentral:rRNA from 1 species